rnacentral:lncRNA from 7 species
AGUUAGGCUCUGGGAGCCGCACUGAUGCACAUGCUGGCACCCCAGGGACACAUGGAGCUGUGGCCUCACCCACCUCCUAGGAACAAACUUCAUUCCACUUGGUGAAGUGUGACAGAGAAGGGCAAUGUCCUGUGGCAAACGCUACAUCUUUUGCCCAUCAGGGACAGAGCUGGGCAUGCAACUCCAGGAGGAAGAGGUUUGCCCUCCAGAGAAGUAAAUUGACUCAAAACAGAUCAACUGAAAACAGAUGCAUUGAAAUGUUGCUGCUGCUUGCCUCGCUGAAGGAAGUCUCUCAGAGGAAAGGCGUGGGUUGUAUCAACUGGAAGGAGAAUAUCAAACUCCAUCUGCCCCAGCUGUGAUAACCGUCUUGCAGCCAAUUGUGGCACAGAACAAGAGUUAGGGACUGAAACCCUAAGGAACAUAUUUGAAAUGCUGCCAAUUUAUCCAGUUUCCUCCUACUCCUGAAUUAAGCUGCAAACUUGUCAAUGAAAAAGCUGGAUAGUAUGGAAGCCCAGUAAAAUGUGAGCUGGAAAAGUAGUGUUACCAUGGUAAGAAGUUGAUGAACCUCCACUAGAGGAUUUGUUUUGCACAGGAUUGCAACUUAUUUAUUUGUUUGUUUGUUUGUUUGUUUUGCUUACUCAGUGUUGCUGCUUUUACUUAGAAACAAACGACUAAUGACAGCUUUUGAGUCAUCUCAUCUAGUCCUCCAAAAAAGUAAUUCUCAAAACCUGAAGAAAGGUAAAGGCAAGAAAGGAAAGGGUUGAGUAGUAGAGAAGAGAGCUUUCUCUUGCAUUGGAAAGACAGUUCUGACUGCUGAGAACAGAUAAAACAUGGCUCCUCCUUUCCAAACUUUAUUUUCUUUGGGGAAAAAAAAAGCUCAUUGUAUUUAUUACUGCAAUCAGAGCUCCAGGAAGUAUCCAAGUGGCUAUUAAUCUAGGCUUUGGGGAAGUCAUGUGGAGCUAUAAAAUAAAAAGUUCUUUUAAAAGUUUGAAGAGCUCCACAGUUAUUAUGAAUGUCUUCACUAUAUCUGUUUUCUGAUGCAGUAAAGGAACUAGAUACAUAGAUAAGCCACAGUUGUUAUAGUAUUGGCAGUUCUUUAGUGAACUGGUACAGAGAAUAAUGCCAAUGAUGAGAAAUGCACUUACUUUGUCCCCAUUCUGGGGAUGCAAGGAAUGUUGCAAUGGUAAUAGUGUUAAGGGGUUUUUUAAGUUGUGAACACCCUCUAUGAGUGCCUCUUGUAAGGGACAAAAUUGACAAACUUGUCAAUAGACAUUGAAAUCAACAUGUGGAUUGUAUUAUGUUUUGUUUCAAUAAAGCCAUCAU